UUAAGCGACUAAGCGUACACGGUGGAUGCCCUGGCAGUCAGAGGCGAUGAAGGACGUGCUAAUCUGCGAUAAGCGUCGGUGAGGUGAUAUGAACCGUUAUAACCGGCGAUUUCCGAAUGGGGAAACCCAGUGUGUUUCGACACACUAUCAUUAACUGAAUCCAUAGGUUAAUGAGGCGAACCGGGGGAACUGAAACAUCUAAGUACCCCGAGGAAAAGAAAUCAACCGAGAUUCCCCCAGUAGCGGCGAGCGAACGGGGAGGAGCCCAGAGCCUGAAUCAGUGUGUGUGUUAGUGGAAGCGUCUGGAAAGGCGCGCGAUACAGGGUGACAGCCCCGUACACAAAAAUGCACAUAUUGUGAGCUCGAUGAGUAGGGCGGGACACGUGGUAUCCUGUCUGAAUAUGGGGGGACCAUCCUCCAAGGCUAAAUACUCCUGACUGACCGAUAGUGAACCAGUACCGUGAGGGAAAGGCGAAAAGAACCCCGGCGAGGGGAGUGAAAAAGAACCUGAAACCGUGUACGUACAAGCAGUGGGAGCCUCUUAAUGGGGUGACUGCGUACCUUUUGUAUAAUGGGUCAGCGACUUAUAUUCUGUAGCAAGGUUAACCGAAUAGGGGAGCCGAAGGGAAACCGAGUCUUAACUGGGCGUUAAGUUGCAGGGUAUAGACCCGAAACCCGGUGAUCUAGCCAUGGGCAGGUUGAAGGUUGGGUAACACUAACUGGAGGACCGAACCGACUAAUGUUGAAAAAUUAGCGGAUGACUUGUGGCUGGGGGUGAAAGGCCAAUCAAACCGGGAGAUAGCUGGUUCUCCCCGAAAGCUAUUUAGGUAGCGCCUCGUGAAUUCAUCUCCGGGGGUAGAGCACUGUUUCGGCAAGGGGGUCAUCCCGACUUACCAACCCGAUGCAAACUGCGAAUACCGGAGAAUGUUAUCACGGGAGACACACGGCGGGUGCUAACGUCCGUCGUGAAGAGGGAAACAACCCAGACCGCCAGCUAAGGUCCCAAAGUCAUGGUUAAGUGGGAAACGAUGUGGGAAGGCCCAGACAGCCAGGAUGUUGGCUUAGAAGCAGCCAUCAUUUAAAGAAAGCGUAAUAGCUCACUGGUCGAGUCGGCCUGCGCGGAAGAUGUAACGGGGCUAAACCAUGCACCGAAGCUGCGGCAGCGACGCUUAUGCGUUGUUGGGUAGGGGAGCGUUCUGUAAGCCUGUGAAGGUGUGCUGUGAGGCAUGCUGGAGGUAUCAGAAGUGCGAAUGCUGACAUAAGUAACGAUAAAGCGGGUGAAAAGCCCGCUCGCCGGAAGACCAAGGGUUCCUGUCCAACGUUAAUCGGGGCAGGGUGAGUCGACCCCUAAGGCGAGGCCGAAAGGCGUAGUCGAUGGGAAACAGGUUAAUAUUCCUGUACUUGGUGUUACUGCGAAGGGGGGACGGAGAAGGCUAUGUUGGCCGGGCGACGGUUGUCCCGGUUUAAGCGUGUAGGCUGGUUUUCCAGGCAAAUCCGGAAAACCAAGGCUGAGGCGUGAUGACGAGGCACUACGGUGCUGAAGUGACAAAUGCCCUGCUUCCAGGAAAAGCCUCUAAGCAUCAGGUAACAUCAAAUCGUACCCCAAACCGACACAGGUGGUCAGGUAGAGAAUACCAAGGCGCUUGAGAGAACUCGGGUGAAGGAACUAGGCAAAAUGGUGCCGUAACUUCGGGAGAAGGCACGCUGAUAUGUAGGUGAAGCGACUUGCUCGUGGAGCUGAAAUCAGUCGAAGAUACCAGCUGGCUGCAACUGUUUAUUAAAAACACAGCACUGUGCAAACACGAAAGUGGACGUAUACGGUGUGACGCCUGCCCGGUGCCGGAAGGUUAAUUGAUGGGGUUAGCGGCAACGCGAAGCUCUUGAUCGAAGCCCCGGUAAACGGCGGCCGUAACUAUAACGGUCCUAAGGUAGCGAAAUUCCUUGUCGGGUAAGUUCCGACCUGCACGAAUGGCGUAAUGAUGGCCAGGCUGUCUCCACCCGAGACUCAGUGAAAUUGAACUCGCUGUGAAGAUGCAGUGUACCCGCGGCAAGACGGAAAGACCCCGUGAACCUUUACUAUAGCUUGACACUGAACAUUGAGCCUUGAUGUGUAGGAUAGGUGGGAGGCUUUGAAGUGUGGACGCCAGUCUGCAUGGAGCCGACCUUGAAAUACCACCCUUUAAUGUUUGAUGUUCUAACGUUGGCCCGUAAUCCGGGUUGCGGACAGUGUCUGGUGGGUAGUUUGACUGGGGCGGUCUCCUCCUAAAGAGUAACGGAGGAGCACGAAGGUUGGCUAAUCCUGGUCGGACAUCAGGAGGUUAGUGCAAUGGCAUAAGCCAGCUUGACUGCGAGCGUGACGGCGCGAGCAGGUGCGAAAGCAGGUCAUAGUGAUCCGGUGGUUCUGAAUGGAAGGGCCAUCGCUCAACGGAUAAAAGGUACUCCGGGGAUAACAGGCUGAUACCGCCCAAGAGUUCAUAUCGACGGCGGUGUUUGGCACCUCGAUGUCGGCUCAUCACAUCCUGGGGCUGAAGUAGGUCCCAAGGGUAUGGCUGUUCGCCAUUUAAAGUGGUACGCGAGCUGGGUUUAGAACGUCGUGAGACAGUUCGGUCCCUAUCUGCCGUGGGCGCUGGAGAACUGAGGGGGGCUGCUCCUAGUACGAGAGGACCGGAGUGGACGCAUCACUGGUGUUCGGGUUGUCAUGCCAAUGGCACUGCCCGGUAGCUAAAUGCGGAAGAGAUAAGUGCUGAAAGCAUCUAAGCACGAAACUUGCCCCGAGAUGAGUUCUCCCUGAGACUUUAAGUCUCCUGAAGGAACGUUGAAGACGACGACGUUGAUAGGCCGGGUGUGUAAGCGCAGCGAUGCGUUGAGCUAACCGGUACUAAUGAACCGUGAGGCUUAACCUU
rnacentral:rRNA from 1 species